ACUUUUGUGGCGCAAUUGGUUAGUGUGUUCGAUCGUUAACCGAAAGGUUGUUGGUCCACAGCCAACCAGGGGUU